UCAAGUUUCUGCCCUAUCAGCUAGUCGGUAGGGUAUUGGCCUACCGAGGCAUUGACGGGUAACGGGGAAUUUUGGUUCGAUUCCGGAGAGGCAGCCUGAGAAACGGCUACCACAUCCACGGAAGGCAGCAGGCGCGCAAAUUACCCAAUUCUGACGCAGAGAGGUAGUGACAAGAAAUAACGAUUGGCUGCUCUAAGAGUAGCUCAUUCGGAAUGGGAACAAUUUAAAAACAUUAUCGAGUAUCAAGUGGAGGGCAAGCCUGGUGCCAGCAGCCGCGGUAAUACCAGCUCCACUAGCAUAUACUAAAGUUGCUGCUGUUAAAACGCUCGUAGUUGGAUUUCAGCACUGGAGCCUGGUCCCGAAGGUGUACCACCUUCGUGAGACUAUAUUGGCUCUGGGGCUUAAUUCAGGGAGGCUGGUCUGGUAUUAAUUUAUCGGGCUGGCACUGUCCCUGAUCUUUUACUUUGAGGAAAUUAGAGUGCUCAAAGCAGGCAAGCGCCUGAAUGCAUUAGCAUGGAAUAAUAAGACACGACUUUGGCAAAUGAGUGGCAUGAGCAAUUGUGCCAUUCAGUGUUUUGUUGGUUUUGAGCCGAAGUAAUGAUUGAUAGGAACAGUCGGGGGUGCUAGUAUCGCCGGGCCAGAGGUAAAAUUCUAUAAUUCCGGUGAGACUAACUUAUGCGAAAGCAUUCAUCAAGCAUGUUUUCUUUAAUCAAGAACUAAAGCUAGGGGAUCCAAGACGAUCAGAUACCGUCGUAGUCCUAGCCAUAAACGAUGUCGACUAAGCAUUGGGCAAGCACUUAGGCUUCCUCAGCGCUUUCGAGAAAUCAAAGUUUUCGGACUCAGGGGGAAGUAUGCUCGCAAGAGUGAAACUUAAAGGAAUUGACGGAAGGGCACCACCAGAUGUGGAGCCUGCGGCUUAAUUUGACUCAACACGGGAAAACUUACCAGGUCCAGACAUAGUCAGGAUUGACAGAUUGAAGUUCUUUCAUGAUUCUAUGCAUGGUGGUGCAUGGCCGUUCUUAGUUGGUGGAAUGAUCUGUCAGGUUAAUUCCGAUAACGAACGAGACCCCAGCCAUCUAACUAGCUGUUACUACUUCGGUAGUGUUUGCGCAAGCAUAAACAGCUUCUUAGAGGGACUAUCUGUGUCAGCAGGUGGAAGUUUGGGGCAAUAACAGGUCAGUGAUGCCCUUAGAUGCUCUGGGCUGCACGCGCGCUACAAUGGUGCAUUCAGCGAGUUUAACCUUGCUUGAAAAAGCUGGGUAAUCUUUAAAAUGCAUCUCAGUUGGGAUAGAUGAUUGCAAUUAUUCAUCUUGAACAAGGAAUAUCUAGUAAACGCAAGUCAUCAACUUGCAUUGAUUACGUCCCUGCCCUUUGUACACACCGCCCGUCGCUCCUACCGAUUGAAUAAUCCGGUGAAUUGAGUGGGUUGGGGCACGUGUCUCAGCUUCGGUUGAGAUCAGUGCCCCAAGAAGCUCUGUGAACCUUAUUAUUUAGAGGAAGGAGAAGUCGUAACAAGGUUUCC
rnacentral:rRNA from 1 species